rnacentral:rRNA from 1 species
AAUCAACGCUGGCGGCGUGCCUCAGACAUGCAAGUCGAACGCGAAAGGCCCCUUCGGGGGCCCGGUAGAGUGGCGCACGGGUGAGUAACACGUAGGUAAUUUGCCUUCGGGUGGGGAAGUAACAGCCGGAAACGGCCGCUAAUACCGCAUAAUGCAGCGGCUCGACAUCGAGACAGUUGUUAAAGCGGGGGAGUCGCAAGACCUCGCGCCUGAAGAGAAGCCUGCGGCAGAUUAGCUUGUUGGUGAGGUAAUGGCUCACCAAGGCGACGAUCUGUAACCGGCCUGAGAGGGCGGUCGGUCACACUGACACUGACAUAC